rnacentral:rRNA from 1 species
UACGUAGGGGGCAAGCGUUGUCCGGAAUCAUUGGGCGUAAAGAGCGUGUAGGCGGCCCGGUAAGUCCGCUGUGAAAGUCCAGGGCUCAACCCUGGGAUGCCGGUGGAUACUGUCGGGCUCGAGUCCGGAAGAGGAGUGUGGAAUUCCUGGUGUAGCGGUGAAAUGCGUAGAGAUCCGGAGGAACCCCAGAGGCGAAGGCGGUGCCCUGGCUCGCAACUGACGCUCAGACACGACAGCAUGGGGAGCGAACGGG